AGACACGGCUAAGACAUCCGGGUUGGCAGAGUGUGCUAAAGCAAAGUCAACAAAUGAGAGCACCUGGGGAGUGGGAGUGGAGGUAGGCUCUGCAGGACCUGGAUUAACCUCUACAUCACCAGAGGAACAGAGGAGAAGUAGGAUAAGGAGAGGUUGGAAAAAUUAACACAAGGCCUACAGUUGUUCACAUCGCUACAACAGAUGAUUUGUGUGAUCAGGACCUGAGCCCUAGGACCAUGCCUCAGGACUACCUGGUAUGAUGACUCCUUGCUGUCCCCAGUCCACCUGGCCGUGCUGCUGCUCCGGUUUCAACUGUUCUGCCUGCGGCUAUGGAACCCUGACCUGUUCACCGGACGUGCUUGUUGCGCCCUCGACAGCUACUGUGAUUGUUGUUGUUUGGCCAUGCUGGUCAUUUAUGAACAUUUUAACAUUUUAACAUCUUGACCAUGUUCUGUUGUGGUAUCCGCCCUGCACAGCCAGAAGAGGACUGGCCACCCCUCAUAGCCUGGUUCCUCUCUAGGUUUCUUCCUAGGUUUUUGGCCUUUCUAGGGAGUUUUUCCUAGGGAGUUUUUCCUAGCCACCGUGCUUCUUUCACAUGCUUUGCUUGCUGUUUGGGGUUUUAGGCUGGGUUUCUGUACAGCACUUUGAGAAUAUCAGCUGAUGUACGAAGGGCUAUAUA
rnacentral:lncRNA from 1 species